GAUAAACGCUGGCGGCGUGCUUCAGGCAUGCAAGUCGAACGAGCGACCCGGUUCGCCGGGAAGCUAGUGGCGGACGGGUGAGUAACACGUAAGCAACCUGCCCAGAAGUGUGGAAUAACCCACCGAAAGGUGAGCUAAUACCGCAUGUGAUGUCUCUUCCCUGGAGGAGCCAUUAAAGGCGAAAGUCGCUUCUGGAGCGGCCGAUAUCAGAUUAGGUAGUUGGUGGGGUAAAGGCUCACCAAGCCAACGAUCUGUAGCUGGUCUGAGAGGACGACCGGCCACACUGGGACUGAGAAACGGCCCAGACUCCUACGGGAGGCAGCAGUGGGGAAUUUUGGACAAUGGACGCAAGUCUGAUCCAGCCAUGCCGCGUGCGGGAAGAAGGCCUUCGGGUUGUAAACCGCUUUUGUCAGGGAAGAAACGCUCUGGGUUAAUACCUCGGGGUAAUGACGGUACCUGAAGAAUAAGCACCGGCUAACUACGUGCCAGCCGCCGCCGUAAUAC
rnacentral:rRNA from 1 species